GGAAGGGGUGUAUUUAUUAGAUAAAAAACCAAUGCCCUUCGGGGCUCUUUGGUGAUUCAUGAUAACCUAACGGAUCGCAUGGCCUUGCGCCGGCGACGGUUCAUUCAAAUUUCUGCCCUAUCAACUUUCGAUGGUAAGGUAUUGGCCUACCAUGGUAUCAACGGGUAACGGGGAAUAAGGGUUCGAUUCCGGAGAGGGAGCCUGAGAAACGGCUACCACAUCCAAGGAAGGCAGCAGGCGCGCAAAUUACCCAAUCCCAAUUCGGGGAGGUAGUGACAAUAAAUAACAAUAUAGGGCUCUUUUGGGUCUUAUAAUUGGAAUGAGUACAAUUUAAAUCUCUUAACGAGGAACAAUUGGAGGGCAAGUCUGGUGCCAGCAGCCGCGGUAAUUCCAGCUCCAAUAGCGUAUAUUAAAGUUGUUGCAGUUAAAAAGCUCGUAGUUGAACUUCAGGCUUGGCUGGGUGGUCUGCUUAACGGCAUGUACUGUCUGGCUGGGUCUUACCUCUUGGUGAGCCGGUGUGCCCUUUAUUGGUGUGCAUUGGGGAACCAGGACUUUUAC
rnacentral:rRNA from 1 species